rnacentral:rRNA from 1 species
GAUCAAGCUACGAAGAGCAUACAGGUGAAUGCCUUGGCACAUAGCGCCGAAGAAGGACGUGACAAGCUGCGAAAAGCUACGGGGAGAAGCAAAUAUUCCGUGAUCCGUAGAUAUCCGAAUGAGGGAACUCAACACGAGUAAUAUUGUGUUAUCGUUAUAUAAAUCCAUAGUAUAACGAAGGGAACCCGGGGAACUGAAACAUCUAAUUACCCGGAGGAAAAGAAAGUAAAACAACGAUUCCGAAAGUAGUGGCGAGCGAAAUCGGAGGAGCCCAAACCAGAGAUAGUAAUAUGUCUGGGGUGACGGACCCAAGAAGGAAAUAGAAAGGUAGUGGAAUAUGGCUGGAAAGCCAAACGAAAGAGGGUAAAAGUCCCGUACACGAAACCGUUCGAAAGCCGUGGGUAUCCAGAGUACGGCGGGGCACGAGGAAUCCUGCCGGAACA